GACGAACGCUGGCGGCGUGCUUAACACAUGCAAGUCGAACGGAAAGGUCCUGCUUUUGUGGGCUGCUCGAGUGGCGAACGGGUGAGUAACACUUGGGUACCCUGCCAUUGCCUUUGGGAUAACCUCAUGAAGCUGGGGCUAAUACCGGCUAGGAGCUACCGCUGCAUGGUGGGGGUUGGAUAGUUUCGGUGGUUGGGGUUGGACACGCGCCUUAUCAGCUUGUUGGUGGGGUAGUGUGUUACCAAGGCCUUGAACGGUGGCAGGCCUGGGAGGGUAACCGGACACAUUGCGAUUGAGAUGCGGCCCAGACUCCUACGGGAGGCAGGGGUGGAGAAGAGUGUACUAUGGGCUGAGGCCUGAUGCAGCCACGCCGCGUGCGGGAUGACAGCCAUGGGGUAGUAUAGCGCUUUCGCCUUAGACGAAGCGUGAGUGACGGUAAUGGGUAAAGAAGCACCGGCUAACUACGUG
rnacentral:rRNA from 1 species